AUUGAACGCUGGCGGCAGGCCUAACACAUGCAAGUCGAACGGUAACAGGAAGCAGCUUGCUGCUUUGCUGACGAGUGGCGGACGGGUGAGUAAUGUCUGGGAAACUGCCUGAUGGAGGGGGGUAACUACUGGAAACGGUAGCUAAUACAGCAUAACGUCGCAAGACCAAAGAGGGGGACCUUAGGGCCUCUUGCCAUCGGAUGUGCCCAGAUGGGAUUAGCUAGUAGGUGGGGUAACGGCUCACCUAGGCGACGAUCCCUAGCUGGUCUGAGAGGAUGACCAGCCACACUGGAACUGAGACACGGUCCAGACUCCUACGGGAGGCAGCAGUGGGGAAUAUUGCACAAUGGGCGCAAGCCUGAUGCAGCCAUGCCGCGUGGAUGAAGAAGGCCUUCGGGUUGUAAAGUACUUUCAGCGGGGAGGAAGGGAGUAAAGUUAAUACCUUGGCUCAUUGACGUUACCCGCAGAAGAAGCACCGGCUAACUCCGUG
rnacentral:rRNA from 1 species